GCGGCCGGUGCGGCGGUUGCCACCUGAAGGUGCCGCCCCACAUCGAGGUCAUGGCCCGUCCUGACGGACAGUGUCACAGAGAACAUACCGCCCCUUUGGAAUUUCAGAUCUCAGAUUUGAGAUUUCAAAGCGGGUAAGGGUGAAAAGGUGGGGUAAGAGCCCACCGCGCCGGCGGCAACGACGGCGGCAGGAAAAACCCAAUCCGGUGCAAGACUAAAUAGGGGACUCGGCGGCCCGUCGGACAGUCCCGGGUUAGUCGCACCCGCCUGCGCUCCGUGAAAGCGGAGCGACGGCGCGGCAAGUUCCGCGUCAGCGGGGCUUGAGAGAAAUGAAGAUCCGCCGUCCUUCAUACGGCGGCCGACAGAAUCCGGCUUACCGGCUGCGGAA
rnacentral:RNase_P_RNA from 1 species